UGGGGUGUGGCUCAGUGGUAGAGUGCUUGCCUAGUUUGCAUGAAGCCCUGGGUUUGCUCCCCUGCACUGCAA
rnacentral:tRNA from 1 species